AGUGAACGCUGGCGGUAGGCCUAACACAUGCAAGUCGAACGGCAGCACAGUAAGAGCUUGCUCUUACGGGUGGCGAGUGGCGGACGGGUGAGGAAUACAUCGGAAUCUACUUUUUCGUGGGGGAUAACGUAGGGAAACUUACGCUAAUACCGCAUACGACCUACGGGUGAAAGUAGGGGAUCUUCGGACCUUGCGCGAUUGAAUGAGCCGAUGUCGGAUUAGCUAGUUGGCGGGGUAAGGGCCCACCAAGGCGACGAUCGGUAGCUGGUCUGAGAGGAUGAUCGGCCACACUGGAAGUGAGACACGGUCCAGACUCCUACGGGAGGAAGCAGUGGGGAAUAUUGGAGGAUGGGCGAAAGCCUGAUCCAGCCAUACCGCGUGGGUGAAGAAGGCCUUAGGGUUGUAAAGCCCUUUUGUUGGGAAAGAAAAGCAGCAGGUUAAUACCCCGCUGUUCUGACGGUACCCAAAGAAUAAGCACCGGCUAACUUCGUG
rnacentral:rRNA from 1 species